CCUCUUGAUUAUAUUCCAGAGGUUUUCAAUUUGGUAAAAUUAAAGGAAGUAUGAAUGGGUUCCAGAGCUCUAGGUCUGCUUUGACUCUAGCUAGAACCAUUCAGUGGUGGCCAAUCAGGUCCAAGUCCAUCCUCCAUCUCCAGCCGUGCGUGAGAGACCUUAAUCCCGUUAGCUUAGCCUCCUCCUGGCUAAUCCCAGCACUUCUCCACCUGCACGUCCUCCAGCCCUGUCACCUACCUGAGGGAUGAGUGCGUGCUGCUGAUCGCUGAAGCAGCAGGAUGUUUAGCUGGGUGGUGAAAGUUGUUCCGCAGCCCCCUGAGAAGACUGGACUCGGAGAAGAGGAGAAAAACAAUGCUCAGGAAGUGAAAGCUCCUGUCAAUGAGGAAGCUGCAAAGCAAGAAAGUCCUGUGAAUGAAGUCUCUGAAGAAAACAGUAGUGGGGUGCUGACCUGGCUGUCUCAUGGCUUCACCAGCGCCCUCCCCCAGCCUGUAGGAGCUCAGAAGGCUAACUCUGAGGUCAAGGAGGAAAAUGCAGUAGGCAACAGUAAAAAUGGUGAAGAACCCGGGAUGAUCGGCUGGAUCGUGCAGGGAUUAGGAAAAGUGGUUCCACAGCCUGACGACAAGUACAAACAGCAGACCGAAUCACAGGAGGUCACAGAGGUUCCACAGCCAGUACCGGAGGUAAAGGUUGAGCCUGUUGUUCCACAGCCAGUACCGGAGGUAAAGGUUGAGCCUGUUGUGCACGAUGUUAAAGACCUGGCAGAUGCUGAGCCCCUCCCUCAGAUCCCUGUGGUGGAGGUGAUCUCUGAUGAAGAGCCUGAUGCAGAUGAUAAGGCCUUAACUCCAAGAGUGAUGGACUGGCUGAAGCAAGGUUUUGAGAAGGUUGUGCCCCAGCCUUCUCCAGUGCACACACCAGAACCUCAGAGGAAGGCAGCUCCAACUCCAGAACCUCCUCCACCACCAGUAUCUGCUCCUGCCCCCUCACCUGUGGAUCCACCCAAAGCAGAAGAUGGUACAAAAGGGGGCACAAACAUGGUGGGCUGGAUCGUACAGGGAUUCAGUCGCAUUGUGCCACAGCCUGUUGUAAAAGCCAAAGAGGAUGGAUCGGAUGCUGUUCAAAGCAUCUGCAUCCUGCAGGACCCCUCAGACAUGGUCCUGGAGGAGGUGGACCCGAACUGGGAGAGGCAGCAGGCGGAUGCUGAGCAGAAGCAGAGCUGCCUCCUGCUGGAGGCCAUGGAUCAGGAGGACGACAUCAAACAGGAGGCGGAGGAAGAUCUCACAGUCUCCAUGGAGGAAAGGCUGCAGCAGGAGCGGUUGGAAGCUGCUCGGAUGGCGGAGGAGUUAGCGCUGCAGGCGGCGGAGAUCGCAGUGAGACAGCUGGAGGAGGAACACACUGGACCCAUAAUAAUGGAGCCUGAACUAUCUGAACCCGACAAUGGAGAACUACUGUCCAAUAUCCAGGAGGAAGAGAAUGAAGAAGAUCCAGAGUUGCAGCCCCUGCGUGAGGAGACUGAGGAGGAGAGUGGGGAUAGUAAAACUGAUGAAGCAGACGUGAAGAGGUGUAUGCUGGACGUGUGCCCGGCCGAGGCUGAGUCUGAGGCUGAAGAGGAGAGAGCGGCAUCACCAGAACCACCAUCGACCCUCGAACCCACACCAACAGCCCAACCAGAGCCCUCGCCAGAGAAGAGGACCUCCUUAACCGUCGUUACCACCCAGCCUCAACCCGCCGCCACAGAGAACGCCCCUUCAGAUGCUGUCGAGGAAGAUGAGGCUCCUGCAGAAGAGGAAUGUGGAGAGAAUGCUUCAAAUUUACCCCAAAUCAUUGAACCCCCGGAAGACUCCACCCACAGGACGAUGCAGGACCCAAUGGACGACAUGGACGGCAUGCGCACGCCCGGACUCCUCGCUGUGGAUGAAGAGAAUCCGGAUCGUCCCGCCUCGGCUGCCAGUCAGACCAGUAUAGUGAAUGUGAGACUGCAGGAGCUGGUGAAGCUGUUUAAAGAGAGAACUGACCGAACCCGAGACAGACUGGUCGACCCUGACGAGUCUGAUGAAGAGAGCCCCUCCGCAUCUCCUGCUAAAAAAGCCGAUGCUCCCCCGCCUCCUCCACCUCCCCCCGAGGGGCAGAAGGAGGCAGCAGAGGCAGAGAAAGAGGUGGAGGAGGAGGAGGAGCAGUUUCUGGAGUUUAUGGGAUACCAGGUCAAAAUACCCCAAAUACCCAAAAUGCCCGACUGGCUGAGAGCGAUCCUGGAGUACCGCUUCCCCUCCAGCAUCGACCCCUACACCGAUUUUAUCUACGUGGUGUGGCUGUUCUUUGUGACGUGUGCGUGGAACUAUAACGUGUGGCUGAUCCCGGUGCGCAUGUUCUUCCCUUACCAAACCCCGGAGAACAUCUACCUGUGGCUGCUGGCCGACUAUACCUGUGACGCCAUCUACAUCAUGGAUAUCGUGAUCUUCCAGCCCAGACUACAGUUCGUCAGAGCGGGAGACGUUGUGUGCGACAAAAAAGACAUGAAAGAAAAUUACAUGCAAACAGAACGAUUCAAGAUGGAUAUAAUCAGCAUGAUGCCUCUGGAGGUCCUGUACUAUUUCACUGGAGUUAAAUCGAUUUUACGCUUCCCUCGCAUUCUAAAGUAUCAGGCUUUCUUUGAAUUUAAUGAUCGUCUGGAAUCCUUCAUGAAAAAGGCCUACAUUUACAGAGUGUUUCGCACGUCUGUGUAUCUGAUCUACUCUCUGCACAUUAAUGCCUGUCUGUUUUACUGGGGCUCGGAUUAUGAAGGCCUGGGCUCCACUAAGUGGGUUUAUAACGGCAAAGGCAACAGUUAUAUCCGCUGCUACUACUUUGCUGUGAAAACUCUGAUCACUAUCGGAGGUCUGCCGGAUCCCACCACCGUGUUUGAAAUCAUCUUCCAGUGUGUGAAUUACUUUGUGGGUGUCUUCGCUUUCUCCAUCAUGAUUGGUCAGAUGAGAGAUGUGGUAGGUGCAGCCACUGCAGGUCAGGCGUAUUACAGGGCGUGUGUGGACAGCACUGUAAACUAUAUGACCUCAUACCGAAUCCCCCGCGAGGUUCAGAACAGGGUCAAGACCUGGUACGACUAUACCUGGCAGUCCCAGGGCAUGCUGGAUGAGCGGGAUUUGCUGGACCAGCUUCCUGAUAAGAUGCGUCUGGAUAUUGCAGUGGAUGUGAAUUAUUCCAUCGUCAGCAAAGUCGCUCUGUUUCAGGGCUGUGACAGACAGAUGAUAUUUGAUAUGUUGACCAGGCUGAAGUCUGUGGUGUAUCUCCCAGGAGACUUCGUGUGUAAGAAGGGUGAGAUCGGCAGGGAGAUGUACAUCAUUAAAGCUGGAGAGGUGCAGGUGGUGGGCGGUCCUGAUGGGACCACUGUGUUUGUGACUCUGAGAGCCGGCUCUGUGUUCGGGGAAAUCAGCUUGCUGGCAGGCGGUGGUGGUAACAGGCGUACGGCUAAUGUUAAAGCUCACGGAUUCGCUAACCUCUUCAUCCUGGAUAAGAAGGACCUGGCGGAUAUCCUGGUGCACUAUCCUGAGUCCCAGAAGAUACUGCGGAAGAAGGCCAAGAAGAUGUUGACGAAGGAUAAGAAGCCUGAUGAGAAAGAGGGUAAAGAUACGGGCGAGGUCAUCCCGCCACGCCCAGAAACGCCCAAACUCUUCAAGGCCGCCCUGGAGGUGGCCAAAGGAGAAACCUUCGCCAAGCUGAAGGAAAGCUACAAAAGUUCUGGAGCCCUGCUGGAGCCCUCCGCCAGUCCCAUGCCCCCCUCCUCCCCCGUACACCGCCGCUCCCCGCUCCCCCGGCCGGCCCCGCCCGACGACACCGAAGACGCAGUAGCAGAAACCACGGACAGCACCGUGAUCAUCCGUAUGACCACACAGCAGCACGGAGGAGAGGAGAUCCUGACCGUGGAAAUGGGCCCCGGGGAGGAGCCGGGCACCGGCUAGACAGACAGAACGUAACCCGUAACCUGUAACUCGUAAUCAGCCAAUGAAUGAGCACUUUGAUUCUUAACACAAUGAGACUACAUGUUUAAAAAUUAAGGUACCUAGAAUGGUUCUUAUAGCAAUUACAAAUAUACAACCUUCCACAACAAUAGCACUUUAUGUAUUAUUUUUAGCUGAUGGUUCCUUAAGGUACCUUUUAAAGAAUGUUUCUUUCAGGAAUUAUAGGAGCCCCUAAGGCAGGGGUGUCCAAACUACGAGGUAUUUUAGAAAUAGAAUGAAAGUUGGCCCGCUGUUAAGCAGGUUUUUAUAAUGUGAGAUUCAAAGUUUGAACGCUAGGUGUCAGAAACGGGCCAAAGAGUCUAAAAGCAGAGAGAGUGCGCAUUUCUAGCGCAGAAAAACGGGCCAAAGAGUCUAAAAGCGGAGAGAGUGCGCAUUUCUAGCGCAGAAAAACGGGCCAAAGAGACUAAAAGUUGCCGUUAUUAAGGAGUUUAAUAUUAAGAGACAUCAUGAAAUGAAACAUCAAUUUGAAAAAUCUUAGUUUACACAACACUGUCAAAGAUAAAGAUAGUAAGUCAAGUAAAAUGGUGUGGAAAUUAAAUAAUCAGGAAAAUGUAUUAUUU